rnacentral:misc_RNA from 1 species
UCUCCGUAGGUGAACCUGCGGAGGGAUCAUUACAGAGUUCAUGCACUCACGAGUAGAUCUCCCACCCUGUGUUAUUAUACUUUGUUGCUUUGGCAGCCCGCCCGCGUGCGCUACCGGCUCCAGCGGGUAAGUGCCUGCCAGAGGACCCCAAACUCUGAAUAUUUUAUUUUCUGUAUACUAUAUAAUAGUUUAAAACUUUCAACAACGGAUCUCUUGGUUCUG